rnacentral:RNase_P_RNA from 1 species
UCUAUCGGCUAGGCUAUCGUUCCAAUUUUAUUGGGGAGGAAAGUCCGGACAGCACAGAGCAACACACCGGUUAAUAGCCGGUUCCAACUUUGGUAGGAAAGAAAGUGCCACAGAAAAUUACUGCCCUGUAAAAAGGGUAAAGGUGAAAAUGUGAGGUAAGAUCUCACAGGUAGUUGUAGUAAUACAACAAUCGGGUAAACCUUGUGUGCUGCAAUGUCACGUAUAUCAACACUCCAAAGCAAUUUGGUAAAGAGCGGCUCGUUCAACGUUGAAGGGUAGGCAGCAAGAUAAUGUUAGUAAUAACAUUGCCAGAUAAAUGAUAGUCAUUUCAAUUUUAUUGGAAUUACAGAAUCCGGCUUAUUGGCUGAUAGAAUUU